rnacentral:rRNA from 1 species
AUUGAACGCUGGCGGCAGGCCUAACACAUGCAAGUCGAGCGGAUGAAGGGAGAUUGCUCCUGGAUUCAGUGGCGGACGGGUGAGUAAUGCCUAGGAAUCUGACCGGUAGUGGGGGAUAACGUCCGGAAACGGGCGCUAAUACCGCAUACGUCCUGAGGGUGAAAGUGGGGGAUCUUAGGACCUCACGCUAUCUGAUGAGCCUAGGUCGGAUUAGCUAGUUGGUGGGGUAAAGGCCUACCAAGGCGACGAUCCGUAACUGGUCUGAGAGGAUGAUCAGUCACACUGGAACUGAGACACGGUCCAGACUCCUACGGGAGGCAGCAGUGGGGAAUAUUGGACAAUGGGCGAAAGCCUGAUCCAGCCAUGCCGCGUGUGUGAAGAAGGUCUUCGGAUUGUAAAGCACUUUAAGUUGGGAGGAAGGGCAGUAAGUUAAUACCUUGCUGUUUUGACGUUACCAACAGAAUAAGCACCGGCUAACUUCGUG